rnacentral:rRNA from 1 species
AUUGAACGCUGGCGGCAGGCUUAACACAUGCAAGUCGAGCGGGGUGAUGGUGCUUGCACUAUCACUUAGCGGCGGACGGGUGAGUAAUGCUUAGGAAUCUGCCUAUUAGUGGGGGACAACAUCUCGAAAGGGAUGCUAAUACCGCAUACGUCCUACGGGAGAAAGCAGGGGAGCACUUGUGACCUUGCGCUAAUAGAUGAGCCUAAGUCGGAUUAGCUAGUUGGUGGGGUAAAGGCCUACCAAGGCGACGAUCUGUAGCGGGUCUGAGAGGAUGAUCCGCCACACUGGGACUGAGACACGGCCCAGACUCCUACGGGAGGCAGCAGUGGGGAAUAUUGGACAAUGGGGGGAACCCUGAUCCAGCCAUGCCGCGUGUGUGAAGAAGGCCUUAUGGUUGUAAAGCACUUUAAGCGAGGAGGAGGCUCUUUUGGUUAAUACCCAAGAUGAGUGGACGUUACUCGCAGAAUAAGCACCGGCUAACUCUGUGCCAGCAGCCGCAGUAA